GCGUAGGAUACUUGAGGAAGGCUGUCCCUAGUACGAGAGGACCGGGACGGACGAACCUCUGGUAUGCCAGUUGUCACGCCAGUGGCAUGGCUGGUUGGCCACGUUCGGAAGGGAUAACCGCUGAAGGCAUCUAAGCGGGAAGCCUGUUCCAAGAUGAGGUAUCCCACCCCUUGUGGGUUAAGGCCCCCAACAGACCAUUGGGUUGAUAGGCCAGAAAUGGAAGCACAGUAAUGUGUUGUCGAGUUGACUGGUACUAAUAGGCCGAGGACUUGCCCAC
rnacentral:rRNA from 1 species